AAGAGAAAACUGAGGUUGAAAGAGAUUCGGUCAUCUGCCAACCAGAGGGACACCUCAUCUGUGCAGUGAGCAGGAGAAACUAAGGCCAGGAGAACAGAGAGAAGGCUUGGGCUGAGUCGUGGUGAUGGACGUAAAGAAUAUUUCUGGAAUGCUUCUGGAUGAGGAAACUGAGGUCCUGAGGGGCAGGUAACUUCUCCAGAUCCGUUCUGCCAGUUAGUUUGGAGGAGGGAGUCCAGUGCCAGCCACAGAACUAUAAUUCAGACACUCUUGACUCUUUUGGUAAGCUGACCUCAAAAGUCUUUGUCCUUUGGAUGAAAAAAUAGAGAGAGGGAGUCCCCACCGAGUCCAAGGCAGAACUGAGGGAAAUAAAAGAUGCUGGAUUUGGACUCUGGCCUCACUGUCUGGUAGGAAGAAUAGAUGUUAGA